rnacentral:lncRNA from 1 species
GGAGCAGAAUCGCUGUCCUUGAUUGUCCUAUGCUGUGGGGCCAGAGGCCAUCAGAUAAGGGACAGACACAGUCCCCAUUCAUAUUCCUGAGUUCUGCUAAAAGUAUACUACCUACACGUCCAAUUAACAUGACUAUCAUGCUAGUAAUAUACUACUAAAGAAAAACAUUUUUUUAAAGAAAUGUAUUUAACUCCAGUAUAGAGAUGCCGUUCAAGCAACCAUAGGCUAAAAGGUAGGAAAGAAAGCUCAUUUCUGUGAGACCCAUUCCAGCAUCCAUGUGUCCUCCCUUCACUCAUGCAGACGGAUGAGCAUCCUGGGCAGGGAGAUGAAGCUGACAUGGGGGUGGGGGAUUCUCAUCAGAGGAGGUGGUCAGGAAAGGCCACUGUCCCGCAGUGUCAGGCUCCAGUGGCCUGUGUUGCAGGGGUCAGCAAGGUAGGUUUCAUUUCACCACUGAACCUCAACGCCUGGACCUCCACCUCCCCUUGGCUGUUUCUUUUGAAAGCAUAGAGACCUUCGAGGGUAGAGACCGGGAGACUUAAGAUGUUACAGCAUAUUUCCCCCCACCCCCUUGUUUUACAGUAUCCGAUUUUGUGUUGAUUCAGCUAAAUUAUGAAAAUAAAGAAAAAAAAGUCCUUUGAU